UACGGAGGGUGCGAGCGUUGUCCGGAAUCACUGGGCGUAAAGGGCGCGUAGGUGGCGGAGCAAGUCAACGGUGAAAGCUCGACGCUCAACGUCGAGUCGGCCGUCGAGACUGCUUUGCUCGAGCACUGUAGAGGCAGAUGGAAUUCCGGGUGUAGCGGUGGAAUGCGUAGAGAUCCGGAAGAACACCGGUGGCGAAGGCGGCCUGCUGGGCAGUUUUGCUGACACUGAGGCGCGACAGCGUGGGGAGCAACAGG
rnacentral:rRNA from 1 species